UGCUGCAAGCCGCGGUGGCCUUUGUUUGUGUGUGGGCUUGCGCGGUGGUGGUGAGUGAGGCUGCUGGCAGGUCAGUGCCCCCAGGUGAGCCAGAGCCACGCUGGCAGGCGGCUGCCUGGCUCCUCCAUCGCUUCCAAGGCUUGGAUCAGGCCAGGCCUGCCGGCUGCGAGGGAGCUAACCGUGUGGGGAGAAGUCUGCGGCUAGAGAGAAGGGUCCCGCUGGACCGGAGGAGGAGGGAGGAGCUUCCGGAGACUCAGCAAUCAUCCUCUCUUCUCGUUCUCUUCUUUUGGGGACUCUGAAGUUUAGACCUUAAACCUACAGGAAGUUCCUGAGAUACAAUUGAGUUUGUUACUUGUUGAAGAUCUCACAGUAUGUGGAGAG